UUCAAAGAAUUUCCAACUGAAACAGGAGUUACAAAGGAGGCCUUGCUUCAGGAUAUGCACUCGCUAGCUUAUUUUGUAGACGCUGUGUAUGGCAGGCCCUGCUGACUAUAAAUGUAGCUUAAAAACAUGCAAAAACUUUAACUGUUCUUUGCUGCAUUAUGCCCCAGGUUUUAUCUGUACUUCUUCAAUAUGUUAAGGUAAUUUGAGGAUGACUAAAAGGUUAUUUGAGGAUAAUGAAACACUGUGUUUAGCCUGUUACAGUUGCAGAGAAUUUGCUGCAUUUUCCUGAUUAUACAGUUUUACUGUCACAGAUGUAAUGAAAUAGAAAAACAGACGAUAUAAAUCUCCUGUAGCAAGGGGUUGAGGGAAAUGCUGCAGUUUUGGGUGUUUGUUGUUGUUGUUUGUUUUUAGUUUUUUGUUUUUAGUUUUUGUUAUAUGGAGAUGAGAUCUGUAUUCAUUUCCCACCUUUUCCAUAGUUUCUCUCUUAAUUUGUUCUUGAAGCUAUUGAUUCUCUGGAGAAGUUUAUCAUCCUGCCGUACAUCCCUGCUUGUCUGUUGGUUGGAAAUUUCUAGAAUCCCACAGAGACUCCAGGAAGUUUAUGUUUUGUUAAUGCAAAUGUGUUUCUAUUUCUGUUAAUGUGUGUUUUAUAUUCUAUGCUAUCUGUGGGGAGAACCAGAGCCUAAAAGAAUUAAGAGACUUAACCUUAGGUUGCACCUCAGCUCAGUGGAAGGCUCUGGGGGGAGAAGAGGAGCCCUUUGACUGUGAAGUAUCUAUGGACUAUGGGUGGGUUGGAAGGGAGGAUAGUAAGAGGAGAACAUUCUUUAGGACCAAGAGCAAUAUUAUUAAUUAGGAUUUAGUUGUUCCUAGAGCAAAGCACUGUAUACUUUUGUAUACAAAAAGUAGAAGAAAUAGGCUAUAGUGAUAGAGAGAUGCUUUAGAAAGCAGGGAGUCUGGAAUAUCUUGGAUAAUCUCCAACGCAUGGAAGGAGAAAUCCAAUUGUUAUAUGAGCGAGCAGAUUACCCUUGAGCAGAAGAGAGAAGGUGCAUUUAUCCUUUUUACUGGGCUUUUUUACAACAGAUUCUGAAGUAAGAGCUUCCUAUAAUGUGUGUAUGGAAGGCAUUGCUAUAUGAAGUGCCAGAAAAACCAGGAGACAUCUGUGAAGCUCAGCAUACAAGAAACAAGCUCCUGAUAAAUGCCUGCUGCUAAAUAAUGCAUUUUGUCUGUAGAUCUUCUUGAUACCUCCAAGAGCUGCAUGCACAGCCAGAUGUAAUAGACUCUGCAGGUGAAAAUUCUGAAAAUACUUAUCUGCAUACAAGCAUAACUUCAGAUCUCCUGAGAUGUUGGCUCCUGCAAGAAUGCCAGUUGCAGCUGGGAAAAAGAUGGCAAACACUGAGAAAAAUCCUUCUCCACUUCUGAAAUCUGGUCCAAAGUUUUCUGCAAAUAUUGAUGCUGCAAAUACAGGUGAAAAUGUAAGAAGCUGAUGGGAUUUGAUUCCAAAGUUACUUAAUGAGGGGGAUGAAUAAUCUAGUCUUUCACGUCUGUACAUUUGGGUUUGAAUCUGUCUCAUAUCAUAGCAAAAUGAAUUUGAUUUCCUCAUCUGAUCCCCAGUAGGAUGUGCUUGUCUGCAUCUCAGAGCUACAGCUCCACAUUGAAGUGACAGCAGUGUCACUACAGCACUUGCACUUAGCUCUGUGUAAAGGUUUGUGCUCUGCUGAUAUAUAUGUGACUCAAACUGCAGCUAACUUUGCUGUCAGCUUCAGCAGCAGACAGACAGACUCAAAAUUGAAGGUGAAAUAAAUUCCCUUGGUUUGCAAGCCUAUUUAAACUUGGGCUAAAGAUCCUGAUCUUGUGACUUUUUCAGUAGAAUCCUCAACUCAGCAUGCAGCUGCAAAGAAUGAAGUUACUGUUCUGUGAUAGACAAGCAAUACUUGCCUUGGUAAUUAAAAAAGCCUUUUGCCUUCUUUUCGUUGUUGGUAGGAAUGACUGUCCCAAUAAAGAAGUUUGCAAUGGCAAUAAGGAGAACAAUUAGAAGAAUAACUUGAGCCUGUUAACAGAAACAAAGAUUUCCCCAAUGAUUUUAAUUUACAUUGACAAUGGAGAUGGCUAAAUAUAAGUGAUUAAGUGAUGUUUGUGUUCCCUAUGACAGAUUACAAAUUGUUAUAGACCUAGAAAACACCAGGAAUCGAGACAGCUGAAUAAAACAAACUGCUAUCAGCUAAUUAUAACAGCAGAUAGUUUUUACUAACAGUGUUUAUAAAGUAGUUAUAAUUUAAUUUAUUUUAUAUUUUUUCUUUAAAGGAAAAAAGAAAAUGAAAAAGUUAAUGCAUAAAUAUCAUGUAUGAGACAUUUUUAUAUUGUUAUAUAAAUUGUUUAGUUGCAGUGAAUGGUCACUUGAAGUGUUAUAAUAUGUAAUUGGUUUUCUGAUAUCUUUUACAAGCAGUUCUAAGCUUUUGUCACAGCAGAAUAUGAAAAGAGAAGUCCUAUUCUAGAACUGAUUUCUACAUUCUGAGGUAUUUUCAUUUGUAUUUCCAUUUUUAGUUUUUUUAAUGUAAGAUAAAGGAAUAGCAGAAAUCAUCCGAGAUUAUGGAAUGGACAGAAAAUGGAGCUUUCCUGCUAGGCAGAGCUUCGGAGGGUACAGUGACAAAAACAUUGUUUUAACUGCUACUUAUUCUCUCAAGCUGCUUCAAAAAUAAGGACAAAAGGGGCGCUUACUCAAGGCUUUAAAUGAUGCCAUGGCUUAUGAAAAUCAAUAUAAACAAGCAGUCUGUGGAACGUAAACUUCCUUUUUCCCUCUUAAAUGAAUGUUCAAGGAAGAACAUAGAGUAGUAUUGCUUUCAUUGAAUGUAAUGAUUAAACUGCUUUGCUUUUAGAAAGGUUAGGCUUCCCACCUGUUGUACAGCAUUCCUCAUGUGUUAACCCUGCACAGUAUUCUAAUAUAUUCUUUGCUUGUAUUUAGUUUUAAAGUUUUACCUUUGCUUCCCAUUCCAUGCCAGCAACAGAGAUGCCAAGAAGACAUAUAACAGUUAUGGUACCUAUUAUUCUGAUAUCAUUGGACUCAUCUACCAUUAUUGAAUCACUCUCCUGAAAAGAUGAAAAUAUUUGCUCAUCUUCUAAGGAGGUAGCUGAAACGUAAGGGGUAUUAUGAAGAAGUAUACUGGAAGGAAUUAAAUUGAAGAUAUCCACUGAUCUGCAUCAGACUUAAAAAUAAGAGGAAGAGUGCGGUGCUUGUUUUGUCCAAGGAUGUCCAACCUGAAAGGCUCUGAAUAAGAAAGACCUGCUGAAAGGUAAGAAUUAAAAAAUUGCAAAUCCAGAUGCCACUCCUCACUCUGCAUUUGGCAGGAACUUCUGAAAUGUACUUCAGAGACUGAACUGAAAUGUGGAAUUUAUGAAAAGUGACAACUCAAACAUGCAGUUAAUUGUGAUUAGAGCUGUCUGGAAUUGUUACCUCCUGGUCCUGUAGAUCCAUCGUUUGGUUUAGCAUCCCUCUGGUUUGCAUCAUAUGAAAAAUAAUACAUAAAGAUCUUUUGGAGCUUGAAAGCAUUAGUAACCCUAAAGAUUUUACCUCCACGGACAAACCCAUUAGUUGCUAUUGCAGAAGUUGACAG